ensembl:lincRNA
AUUUUUACAAAUUAAAUGUUUACAAAAAUUUAUCUGAUAAUUAUUUUGUUUUGAAUUUUUCUAAUUGUUAGCGAGACUGAAAUGCAAACGUGUAUUGGCCAUAUGUGAAUGGCAAUCCACUCCAGUAUUCUUGCCUGGAGAAUUCCGUGAACAGAGAAGCCUGGCAGGCUACAGUCCAUGGGUUUGCAGAAUCGAACACGACUAAACAACUAACACAUACAGUCCAUGGAAUUCUCUAGGCUAAAAUACUGGAGGGGUAGUGUUUCCCUUCUCCAGGGGAUCUCCCUAACCCAGGGAUCAAACUCAGGUCUCCAGCAUUGCAGGCAGUUUCUUUACCAGCUGAACCAGUCUGUAAUGUGACUGAACAUCCAAGAAUUGAUCUAACAUGAAUAGAUUAGAUAGAGACUUAACAUUUGGUAUUAGAGAAAUCAGUCAGAUUUGGAUCAAUUUUCCCACCUAUUAAGAAAAUACCAAUGCUAAUAACAGGACAAAAUAUUGUUGGAGGGAAUAAUUCCAGGAAUUACAAAUCCUUUCACAUCUAACAAAUCCUUUCACAUCUAAACAAGAAGUGUAGGUAAUCUGAUUGCUUGGACAAGGGCAAGGACUGGACCACAUUUUAUUUGUGGCAAAGGCAACUGCAUACGUGUGUCUGUGCUCAUAUACUCAGCUGUCUCUGACUCUUUGCAACCCCAUGGACUGUAGCCAACCAGAUUCCUCUGUCCAUGGAAUUUUCUAGCAAAGAAUACUGGAGUGGCUUGCCAUUUCCUGCUCCAGGGGAUCUUCCUGACCCAGGGCUCAAACUCACAUCUCCUGCUUGGCAGGCAGAUUCUUUACCACAAGGACUACCUGGGAUGCCAAAGGUUAACUACAGGGACAAAAGUUGUUAUGCUGAACAAAAUGAACAUUGCUUAGGAGUUUAUUGGAGACUGAAUGCCUUGAUUUGAAAAAAAUGUCAUCUACAGUAACUGACAGUUUUUGAAAAUAAUGACUUCCACAAAUACCAUCCAGUUCAGUUCACUUCAGUUCAGUCGCUCAGUCGUGUCCGACUAUUUGCGACCCCAGGAAUCGCAGCACGCCAGGCCUCCCUGUCCAGCACCAUCCCCCGGAGUUCACUCAGACUCACGUCCAUCGAGUCCGUGAUGCCAUCCAGCCAUCUCAUCCUCUGUCGUCCCCUUCUCCUCUUGCCCCCAAUCCCUCCCAGCAUCAGAGUCUUUUCCAAUGAGUUAACUCUUCGCAUAUUAUUCUAAUAAAUACCAUAUUAUCCUCGUUUCAAAAUCUAAUGUUUCGGCUUAUGUAUAUAUGUGUGAGCCUUUGUGUAUAUGUGCACAUCCAUAGAGACAUUUUAGUUUUGUCAAUGACCUAUGAGUAGACACUUAUUGUCUUGGAAUAUGAGGGUACAAGAUUUAUAUUCUUUAUGUUAACAACCAAAUAUUGCGAAGCACUUUAUUACCCAGCACACAUCACUAAGGAAUAGAUAAAAUAAUUUACAUAUUAGAUUCAUUAAAAAAACACACACACACACACACAAUCAGUAGCUGAAAUAUCCUCUUUUGGGGUUCCAAAACCUCUGCAGAUGGCGACUGCAGCCAUGAAAUUAAGACACUAAAUUAAGACACUUACUCCUUGGAAGAAGAGUAUAACUAACCUAGAUAGUAUAUUAAAAAGCAGAGACAUACUUUGCCAAAAA